UACGAAGGGGACUAGCGUUGUUCGGAUUUACUGGGCGUAAAGCGCGCGUAGGCGGAUCGCUAAGUCAGGGGUGAAAUCCCAGGGCUCAACCCUGGAACUGCCUUUGAUACUGACGAUCUGGAGAUCGGGAGAGGUUGGUGGAAUUCCGAGUGUAGAGGUGAAAUUCGUAGAUAUUCGGAGGAACACCAGAAGCGAAGGCGGCCAACUGGCCCGAUACUGACGCUGAGGCGCGAAAGCGUGGGGAGCAAACAGG
rnacentral:rRNA from 3 species